CAAGCACAAGCUAAUUAAUUAAAAGCUUUAUUUUUCACUAAUCUAUAUCUGUCUACAGCUAUUACAUAAUAGAAAAGGCAUAAAAUAUCUCAAAGACAACGGUGGUUAGGUGCUUCAAAGUUGGACAAAGUGAUUGCCAAUUGCCACUGACAUCAAUUAUACAAGUCUGUUUUUUGGCCUCCGCAAUCCCCUGCAACCCACAUUUCUCUAUCAUCUCCCUUCCUUGAUCUCCUCCUAAAUCCUUCUUCUUCCCAUUAGCCCUUAUACUGAAACAAAACGAAGGAAGGAUAUAUAGAUUAUAGUUGCAGUUUCUAAGGUGAGAAUUUUGAAGCCAUGGCAUUUGCAGGAACAACCCAGAAGUGCAUGGCAUGUGAAAAGACUGUCUAUCUUGUGGAUAAGUUAACAGCCGACAACCGUGUCUACCAUAAGGCCUGCUUCCGGUGUCAUCACUGCAAAGGAACCCUCAAGCUUGGCAACUACAAUUCCUUUGAAGGGGUACUUUAUUGCAGGCCACAUUUCGAUCAACUCUUCAAAAGAACUGGCAGUCUGGACAAAAGCUUUGAGGGGACGCCAAAAAUUGUAAAAUCUGAUAAACCUGCUGAUGUUGAGAAACCUAACGCAGCUAAAGUAUCAAGCAUGUUCGGCGGAACCAGAGAUAAAUGCUUUGGCUGCAAGAACACUGUCUAUCCAACUGAGAAGGUUACGGUGAAUGGAACUCCUUACCACAAAAGCUGCUUCAAAUGCAUCCACGGAGGAUGUGUAAUUAGCCCAUCCAACUACAUUGCACAUGAGGGAAGGCUCUACUGCAAACACCACCACAACCAACUCAUUAAGGAAAAAGGCAACUUAAGCCAACUUGAGGGCGAUAAUGAGAAGGAUUCCACGAAUGAGAAACCUAAUGGAAGCGAAGUUGCUGCUGAAUCAUAAAUAUUACGUGUUCAUCCUGCUUGCAUCUUCUUCCUCACUUGCCAUGUUGUUGCCACGCUUCAUGAUUUGUUUUUCCCUGCAGUCCAAAUGGCUUUGUGCUCACAAGUAGAUGAGAUUCUUCUUGAUAUUUCUAAUUGAAGUAUGUGGGAUUUUUGUUUGAUGUAUUUUGGGUUUUGUUCUACUAUGGGUGCUUUAGUGAGAUUCGAAGACCUAUUUGAUUCUCAUUUCUCAGUACAUGAUAUGGUGAACUGAACUGGUGUACUUUGUGAUUCAUCUCUUUUCCCUGAUUUUUUACUUUGAAAUGUAAGAUUACUUCGGUCAGGUUUUCAUAGAAUAGCAGCCUGCCUCCUUGUGUAUUUUAGGGGGUUACAGGAGUUCUGCUCCUCACAGAGAAUGGCUCACACCCAUAACAUCUGAUUCGAGAACAGGGCAAUAUAUUUGGAUCGAAUAAAGGCAUUAAAGUUUGAAACCUGC
rnacentral:misc_RNA from 1 species